CACAGACCAAAGUACAACGAUGACCUCUUAUACAACAGAAUCAACAUCAACAGAGACAGAUUCAACAAUAUCUACAUCCACAGAAGAAAGCACAUCCACAGACCAAAGUACAAUGAUGACCUCUUAUACAACAGAAUCAACAUCAACAGAGACAGAACCAAGCACAACAACUGCCACUGCAUCGACUACAUCUGCCACCAGCAGCGAAACAAC